UUUUAAUAGCUUACGCAGGGUUAGUUAAUGUACCAAAUUGUGCAGAACGUAGACGGAUACCAAUGCGCAAAACAUGGAGAAACGGUACGUUUAACCUUCUAUUAAUGUUCUUUAAACUUACAGAUUUUAAAGCUUCAAAACCUGAGCUAUGACCCUCGAUAGUUUCCAUCCUUCUUUGACGAGCCCACCGUCGAUUGCCAUCCAUUACAAAGGCUAUGUGUUGUGGUACUUUGCCACGUUUAAUUGUAUUUAUCAUCAUCGUUUCUAAUUGAUCAAGUGUCCAUUGUAAUGGAGGACAGUGAAUAAACCAGCCUGAUAAAUUACCCAUAUUGUCAAGAUA